AGAGUUUGAUCCUGGCUCAGAUUGAACGCUGGCGGCAUGCCUUACACAUGCAAGUCGAACGGUAACAGGUCUUCGGAUGCUGACGAGUGGCGAACGGGUGAGUAAAGCAUCGGAACGUGCCCAGUCGUGGGGGAUAACUGCUCGAAAGAGCAGCUAAUACCGCAUACGACCUAAGGGUGAAAGCGGGGGACCUUCGGGCCUCGCGCGAUUGGAGCGGCCGAUGUCAGAUUAGAUAGUUGGUGGGGUAAAGGCUUACCAAGUCGACGAUCUGUAGCUGGUCUGAGAGGACGACCAGCCACACUGGGACUGAGACACGGCCCAGACUCCUACGGGAGGCAGCAGUGGGGAAUUUUGGACAAUGGGCGAAAGCCUGAUCCAGCAAUGCCGCGUGCAGGAAGAAGGCCUUCGGGUUGUAAACUGCUUUUGUACGGAACGAAAAGGUUCUUUUUAAUAAAGAGGACUGAUGACGGUACCGUAAGAAUAAGCACCGGCUAACUACGUG
rnacentral:rRNA from 1 species